AUGGGAAGACAGGAGGGAGAGGGAGGCACAGCGGCAGAGAGACGGGAGACACCUAGGGCAGUGAAGACACGGAAGCCUGGAGAAGACACGAACAUUAAUCCUGACCAUCAGACACCGAGACACGACAGAGGCAGGACGAGACCCAGGACGGACGCACAGGGACAGCGCUUUGUAAAGACACCAAAACGGACACGGAGACCCGCCACACCGAGGCCCCGACACAGGCCCGCGCGAGACACGGACGCUGACAGACGGAGACAGACGCCGGGGAGACGCGGGCGGUCCAGGCCAACCGGGCGCAGAGACACAAAGGCCGCGGAACGACCGGGGCCGACGAGCGACGGACGCCCGAGCGCUCCAGGCCCGCCGCGCCCCCGGCCCGAGCCCCGGCCCGCGCUCACCUCGGCCCCCUCACGCCGGACUCCGGGGGGUCAUGGCGGGCAGCCCCCUGUCCCCGCUCGGCCUCGAUGUCGCGGGGCGCGCGCAGGGCCGCGGGUGGCGGACGCGGAGGCUCGCUUGGGCGCACGCGCGGACGCACCGAGGGCCGCACGCCGACGGCCCCGCCGGCCCGGCGCCCGGGAUGGGCGCGGAGAGCCGGGCGGGGGAGGGGAGCCGCCGAGCGGACGGGAAGCAACCGAAGGAGGCGACGGACCGGAAGCGGAAGUGGCGACGCGACCCGCCCUCCACGCCUCGCUCGGCCCCGGCGGCCUUGCCAGCGGCAAACCUGCGCAGCCGCCGCUUCCGUGGCCCCGCCCGGUGGCGUCACUUCCGGCGCGUGGGCUCCGUCGCCAGAUACGGCGGCUGUUUCGCUUGCCGCCGCGAGCGAGGACGCAGGGGCGGUGGGCAGAGGGCCUGGGCAGCUCUCCGCUGAGGGAAGCAGGGAAGAACCGUGCCGCGCAGGCCGCCCUCACCCCGCGAGGCCACGCCCUCGCCACCUCGCACCAGGACUGCCCUAGGGACGUCCACGAAGCCACUCGCCCGCCCUCUUUCGUGGGGCUGGGACGCAGGGGCCGGUCCGCCGCACCCUCCUUUCCGGGACCACGCCCUGCGCCGGACCCAGAGGAGCAGGCCACGUAG
rnacentral:lncRNA from 1 species